UACGUAGGGUGCGAGCGUUGUCCGGAAUUAUUGGGCGUAAAGGGCUCGUAGGCGGUUUGUCGCGUCGGGAGUGAAAUCCACUGGCUUAACUGGUGGCUUGCUUUCGAUACGGGCAGACUGGAGGCAUGCAGGGGAGAACGGAAUUCCUGGUGUAGCGGUGAAAUGCGCAGAUAUCAGGAGGAACACCGGUGGCGAAGGCGGUUCUCUAGUACGGUACUGACGCUGAGACGCGAAAGCGUGGGGAGCGAACAGG
rnacentral:rRNA from 1 species